UAGAGAGAGACAUGCGCGCAUAUCAAUAAGCGGAGGAAAAGAAACUAACAAGGAUUCCCCUAGUAACGGCGAGUGAAGCGGGAAGAGCUCAAAUUUGAAAUCUUAAAGGGUUUCCCUUUACGAAUUGUAGUUUAAAGAAGUGUUUUCUGUUGAGGUUUUGGUAAAAGUUCUUUGGAAUAGGACAUCAUAGAGGGUGAGAAUCCCGUAUUUGACCUUUACUUUCAACUUUGUGAUACACUUUCAAAGAGUCGGAUUGUUUGGGAAUGCAGUCCAAAAUGGGUGGUAAAUUUCAUCUAAAGCUAAAUAUUGGCGAGAGACCGAUAGCGAACAAGUACCGUGAGGGAAAGAUGAAAAGAACUUUGAAAAGAGAGUUAAACAGUACGUGAAAUUGUCAAAAGGGAAGCGUUUGACACCAGUGUUGUUUUUCUGAAAAUCAAUUAAAGAACUGUUUAUGCUAAGUUGUUUAGACUUUAUCAGCUAACUGUUUAGUUUUGAGCUUUUCUUUAAUGCACUUUUCAGUUAACAAGUCAACAUCAAUUUCUUUUCGCUGUAAAAAAGCUUGAGGAAGGUGGCUUGAGAUUCGUCUUAAGUGUUUAUAGCCUCUUGCCUAUGCAGUCGGAGAGAUUGAGGUCUGCAGCGUAGAUCCUUCGGGGCUAAAUGCAUUUGUGCUAAGUUAUAGCAUUUUAUAGACAACUUGUUGACUAUGAUUUGUCUUGUAGCUUACUCGCUUAUGUUAUUUUACCUACGCUUAGGAUGUUGAGCGCAUGUCUCUCUCU
rnacentral:rRNA from 1 species